UGGAGAAAAUCGCCCAGCUCGAUCACAACAGCAGUUUACUGAAGGAGCAGAACACAGAGAUGAGGAGCUGGCUGGAUACGGCGGAUGAAGACAUGGCCAUACUUCGAUCUGAGAACAGUUUUCUCAAAAAGCAAGUGAAAGACCUGGAGAAAAUAAUCAGCGAUGCUCAGAGUGUUGAAUCAGAACCAACUGAAUGUCAGCCCGAUUACCUUGAUUUGAAAAUAAGAAAUGACAUGGAAAUUCAGAAGUUGGAGAAGGAAUCAGCCUCUCUGAAAAAAGAAAACAAAAAGCUCACAGAUGAGAUAAGGAACUUGCAGCAGCUACAACAGCAAGAUGAUGUGACCCUGAACAAGUUAAAAGCUUCAUUUCAAAUACUUGAGUCUGAGUGGGAGGAGGCUCAGUUAGGACUACAGCAAAGAGAUGAGGUUCUUCAACAGAAACAACAGGAGUUAAAACAUGCUGAGGAAAUGGUGGAAGAAUAUUCAACCAUUAUAAAGGAUCUCAGGGUGAAAAACCAGCAAUUAAAAGAGGAACUUGAGGCUGGACAGGAUGAAGUGUCAUUCGCUGUUGCUAUUGACCUUUUGGAAGCAAAGGACAAGAGUAGCAGUCCUGCUCUGUCAUUUGCCGAGGAGCUUAGGCUGUUGGAUUCUUUCUUUCAUACCAACAUCAGCAUAUCAGACGUCACAGUGGCAAAUGAUGAAGUAAUGUCUGAAAAAGCCCAAAAGACAACUUGUUUAGUGACAGACGAUUGCACUGA
ensembl:lncRNA